GGGCAGCGACGGCAUGUCCAACACGCCUCUUCAUUCGUGGGAACGAGCUUCGACUCGUCCGUGGUCGGUUUUCCUGUGUUGCAUACCUAUUGCAAGGGCAUUGGAUCGGUUGAAACUGUCCCAUCUCCACCUUGUGUCGGCGCUCCAAGCGGGCGUUCGGUAUGGGGUGGAUCUAACAGCACGCGUUGUGUUUCGCGCCGCAUUCACCCGAUUUGGUGUUUGGGUAGGCGAACCACUACGUGCUGCUCGUCGUCUCGGGUGCGGAACAUCGGGUGGGUACGAGGCAUGUCCUCCGAUCACCACACAAAUGCGUUCYACGCUCAAUGCGAACGACGGCCGCCUCGGCCCUCGGCGGAGCACUUGCUGCUCGGUCGAAGYCGUGUCGGCGUCGGUGAGGGAUGCUACCUGG
rnacentral:misc_RNA from 1 species